GACGAAGGGGCUAGCGUUGUUCGGAAUUACUGGGCGUAAAGCGAGUGUAGGUGGUGUCGUAGUCAGGUGUGAAAGCCUUGAGCUCAACUCAAGAAAUGCACUUGAUACUGGAUAACUAGAGGACCGGAGAGGAUAGUGGAAUUCCAGUGUAGUGGUGAAAUACGUAGAGAUUGGGAAGAACACCAGUGGCGAAGGCGGCUAUCUGGACGGUUUCUGGACACUAAG
rnacentral:rRNA from 1 species